rnacentral:rRNA from 1 species
UGCAAGUCGAGCGGACCGACGGGAGCUUGCUCCCUUAGGUCAGCGGCGGACGGGUGAGUAACACGUGGGUAACCUGCCUGUAAGACUGGGAUAACUCCGGGAAACCGGGGCUAAUACCGGAUGCUUGAUUGAACCGCAUGGUUCCAUCAUAAAAGGGGGCUUUUAGCUACCACUUACCGAUGGACCCGCGGCGCAUUAGCUAGUUGGUGAGGUAACGGCUCACCCAGGCGACGAUGCCUAGCCGAACUGAGAAGGUGAUCGGCCACACUGGGACUGAAACCCCGCCCAAACUCCUACGGGAGGCAGCAGUAGGGAAUCUUCCGCAAUGGACCAAAAUCUGACGGAACAACGCCGCGUGAGUGAUGAAGGGUUUCCGAUCGUAAAACUCUGGUGUUAGGGAAGAACAAGUACCGUUCCAAUAAGGCGGUACCUUGACGGUACCUAACCAGAAAGCCACGGCUAACUACCUGCCAGCAGCCGCGGUAAUACCUAGGUGGCAAGCGUUGUCCGGAAUUAUUGGGCGUAAAG